CCAGGCUGGUCUUGAACUCCUUGAACAUCCAGACAACAAAAUAGUAUUCACCACUAAAAAGAAAUGAGCCAUCAAGCCAUAAAAAGACAUGGAGGAAGCUAAAUUCCUGUUACUAAGUGAAAGAAGCCCAUCUGAAAAGGCCGCUUUAUGAUCCCAACUCUACGACAUUCUAGAAAAUGCAGAACUGUGGAGACAGUAAAAAGACAAGUGGUUGCCAGAGGUUGGGGGGAGCUCUGGUGGGGCUCAAGUGAUCCUCCCGCCUCAGCUUCCUGAGUAGCUGGGAUUACGGAUGUGUGCCACCACACCUGGCCUCUUUUUUUAUUAAAGGAAAAACAAAACAAAACAGGCUUUCCAUCAUGAAAGUCUUUGAGAGCUUGAAGCCAGACUGGUUAGUUUCAAAUCUCAGUUCCACCACUUUACAGCUGUAUUACCUUGGGCAGCUUACUUAACCUCUCUGUGCCUGGGUUUCCUCAACAGCAAAAUGGGGCUAAUAAUAGUACUCACCUCUGCAGAUUGUAUGAAGGACCGAGAACAGCGCCUGCACAUAGAAAGCACCCACCGUUGUCAUCUUUCCAUGACGCCCAAUAUUCUUCUACAACACAAUGAUGCCAUUUUUAUUGGCCAACUGCAAUUCUUUUAUUCAGAUAUAGCAUAAUUAGGUUAAUUCAUCUCCCCACCUAAAGCAUUUGGGGCCCUUUUGUUUCUCUUACAGUUGACGCUGUGAUGAACAUCUUUACAGUAACUAUUACAUCAUUUUUAAUGGCAAAAACUGCAAUUACUUUUGCACCAACGUAAUGUGCAGUAAAACUGAUAGGCAGAGUUUGAAAACUUGGGCUUUGUUUUGCCAAGUUGCCCUGGAGAAUGCUGUACCCGACAAUACUUUCCCCGCACUAGGGGAGGCUCCUGCUCCACUCAGGCUGUUACUCCCUGUGUGAAUACAUUUCCAUUUGGGCCCACCUGGCAAGCAGCAGCCAUCCCUGACUUCUCAUCAGUCACCAGUCAUCCUUCCAGCGGGUAGAAACUUCUCCCGAUCUUAUUCCUGGGAGCGCCUUCCGUCGGCUCCAGGCAAAGCCAGUGGAAGCCAAGCCCAUUUCUGCCACAUCAUAGAAACUCUCUGCCCCUGAAGUGCAAGCCUGGACCCUCUUGAAAACUUUUCCCAAAAACAGACCAAAGAAAAUCCUCAUCCAUCUUCCAACCAAGUGGCAUGUUCCAGCGUCAGUUCCCAACCUUAUGGUAUUAAUAAUCCCUUCCGUGUUGAUCAUUAGCGGCACUGCGUCCGGAAUUGAGGCUUUGCGGGCAGAUGGGGUUAGAACUGCUGGAGAGGAGGGAGAAGGGCCGACAGCAGAAACCAGAGCGUCCUGUGAGAUGAAGAAAAGGCCGGGAACCUGUGGCCUGGAGUGCACAGGACUCACACUGCUGUAUGGAGCUUCAGACUGUCCGUGGGACCGAGCCUUUCCCUGAGGCCUCUGAGUGGCAGCUCUCUCAACAGCCUCUGAGUUCCUCCCCUAUAUAAACUGCGAAAUUUACAAAUCCAGGUCAUGAACCUCCUGAGAAAUUGGAUCCCUGUUCCCAUGUGGCAGCAACUAGAGAAGCUCCGUGGCAGCUUGACCUGAGGUCAAAUAGUCAGAUGAAGCACAAUGUGGAUGGCUUGGGUUUCUAUUCCAUGAGUCUGCAGCCUCAUCUGGGAAGACUGGAACGACUGGGGGCUGGAAGUGUCUGGAGCCUGGGCCGAAAUGACUCAGAGACUGGACUCAGUUGGAACUGUCAACAGGAACAACUUCAUGCGGCCUCUCCACCUGGCUUGGGCUUCCUCACAGCAUGGUGGCCUCAAGGAUAGUUGGACUUCUUACAUGACAGCACAAUUCUCAAAGGCAAGAGUUACAGCAAACCAGGCUGAAGCUGGAUAGCCUUUUAUGAGCUAAUCUUGGAAGUCAUAUAGCAUCACCUCCAUUGCACCCUGUUGGUCAGAGCAGCCCAAGCCCUUCUAGAUUCAGGGGGAAGGACUUAGAGUCAUGGACACAGACGUAGACCUGCACUCCAUAGGAGGAAUGUCAAAGGAUUUGCAGCCACGUUUUAAAACCACCACAGUGAGUUACAUCCACUAAUAGGAAACCAGAUUUCCCUUAGAUCUAGUUUUGGGAAUACACUUCACUUGACUGUCAACACUCGGCGCUUCCAUCAAGUACAGGAUGAGGUCCAAAUCCCUUGGCAUGAAAACCAAAGUCCUUCCUAGCCUGGUUCCAGCCUGCAUUCCAGCAUCCAUCCUUGGUUGUCUGCAUUCCCGCAAGUUGGCUAAAUGCGCUCACACAAGCAUGCCACUGUGGUUCUGAGGACUGUGGCCCUCAGGGGGACACACUUUUGUUUCCUUUCUUUUCUUUUUUUGUUCUUUUUUUUUUGAGACAGGGUCUCGCCCUGUCGUCCAAGCUAGAGUGCAGUGGCACAACCAGG
rnacentral:lncRNA from 10 species